rnacentral:rRNA from 1 species
UACGUAGGGGGCAAGCGUUGUCCGGAUUUAUUGGGCGUAAAGAGCGUGUAGGCGGCCAGGUAGGUCCGCUGUGAAAACUGGAGGCUCAACCUUCAGAGGUCGACCGAAACCAUCUGGCUAGAGUCCGGGAGAGGAGAGUGGAAUUCCUGGUGUAGCGGUGAAAUGCGCAGAUAUCAGGAAGAACACCCGUGGCGAAAGCGGCUCUCUGGAACGGUACUGACGCUGAGGAGCGAAAGCAUGGGGAGCGAACAGG